ensembl:lncRNA
CACAAAAUACUGAGGACCUUUCGUAGAAUUAGUCUGAGUUCUGUCCUCAUUGUAUUACUGUGUCAUCUGAUCUUAAAAUUGCCAUAGAGCUGAGGAUCAUGUAGUCUUAGGGCUUAUCUGUGGAUUGGAAGAACCCAUCUUUCCAGGUUCCAGAACUUUAGAAAAGUAUAUAUAGAGAUUCCUGGGCAUGGGGGCAGGAAUUUAUUACGUGGAAAAGUCCCAGUCAAUGCAAGAAUCCCCAACCUCCCCUUUGCUAGAAGCUAGAAGUCUGGUGACGGCUAUCUGUGCCGACCCACUUCAGGCAGAUUCCUCAUGUCCAUCCUGGUCGUAACCGUGUGUGUGCAUCUCUGUUACAGACACCCCACCCCCACCACUGUGAGCUCCUGGAGAGCCGGAGAGGGCCUUCCUUCUCUUUCUCCCCAGUGCCCAGCUGGGUACCUGGCCCAGAAUGGGGGCUUGAUAAAUGAUUGAAUAAGGUCCUAGUGUUGUGUGUCAUCUCGUCAAGCCCAGAAGAUAGCUUAUCUUUUAAUCUUUUUAUCUUCAGGGCCAAGUUCAAUGCCUGGCACAUACUUGGUGCUCAAUAAUGUUAGAAAAAAAAUGAGCUUGUAAUUACCAGCUCUUUAAAAGCUUCUUUACUGUAGCUGAGUACUGUUUCCACAUCCUGCCCAUGGCUUCUGCUUCCCGUAUUCAUUCACUCUAACGUAGAUUCCUGAAUGUCUACUGCCCUGAAUGAGGUGCUUCGUGCACACAGGGACAUGGCCUUCAUUUGGUCUGAUUUUCUGAGUCUCUCAAACUGCUGCUGCAGGGUCCCUGGAGACAGCUCGUUUCUCCUGGAAGAAUCGCCAAAGUCAGCUUCAGCAGCUCACAAACGUCUUCAUUGCUCUGAGCACAGCGCUAGGCAUAGAAUUGGAUUCAGCUGAUACUUGCCACCUGGCUUAGAGAACAAGGACUCCAGCUCCAGCCCCAGCUGCGGCACCUGCUAGUUCUGUGACCUAGGUUUCUUUGCUGGGAAGGCAGAGGAAGCCAGGAGAGGCCCAUCAGAAUGGACUUCACCACUUCAUCGGCCCAGGUCGCGAUGCGGAAGCACCGAGAAUCAUCGGAGCUGGAAAGUAUAGUCCAGUGGUGUGCUAGGAAAGAAGGGGAGAAGGCCUUUUGGCCUCUGCCACGUCUCUUGACUUGGACACCUUCCCACUGCUGCUGACAGCAAUCAGACACCUGCUCCCUGAGCCCAUGGCAGCCAGCAUGCCUCUUCUACAGCACUCGCCACCCUCUCUCAGGAGGGCUGUGACGGGCCAAGUCACACCCGCAGCACAGUGACACUGCCUGUUUCAAAACUGACAGCGAGCGUGGAACGUCACCUCACCUCUGAGUGAGCCCAGGAAGCGACAACUCUCCGUGGCCAGGAAUCUCAGCUCCUCAGAUUCCGUGGAAAGGAGUAGCGAGCUGGUCCUAAAGGAGGAAGAGGAAAUGGAAACGAGCUAAACUGUCAGCUGCCUAUUCCCUGCAGGUAGAAGGGCUUACGAGCUCUCCUCCUGGAGCCUCACCACCGGGCCCCAGACCACCUGGGGCUCUGGAACGUUCCGUUCUUUUGGUGCAGAGCUGCGCAGGGUGCAUCUGGACUGAACUGUUUCCACCAGCUGUGGCGAGAGAAGGACAAACACUGACAGUGUUUAAAAACUGAUGUUGCUGUGACAUCCAAGCACAUAUGGUGUUUUAUCAUUUUUUUCCCAUUUCACUUUUCUAUUGUCAGUCUGUGAUGGACCAAGAAAAAAUAAAAACCAACCAGUCCUUCAUCACAGAUGGUUCGAGAAGCAUCAGUAUGGUAGCUAUGGAGUCAGAAAAGCUGGGCUUUAUGGCAGCUCCAUCUCUUGCUAGCUGGUUGACCGUAAUUAAAUUGCAUCAUCUCUCUGUGCCUUGGUGCCUUCACCUAUGAAAUGGGCAUAACAGUGCCCACCUGUGACGGCUGUGGGAUGUCAGUGAGGGAACACGGAUAAAGCACCCAGGGCGGUGAGUGUUGCAAAAGCGUUGAUUCUCAUUAUUACUACUGCUGGUAUCCGACAUGACUCAUUCAUUCGAUCGACAAAUAUUUACUGAGAGCCUGGUAUGUGCUAGCUCUUCUAGGAAUGGGGGAUUAAGAAAAGUG